GUGAGUAGUUCAGAGUUUGAUCCUGGCUCAGGCGAACGCUAGGCGGCGUGCCUAACACAUGCAAGUCAACGGAGUAAGACUUCGGUUUUACUUAGUGGCGAACGGGUGAGUAACGCGUGAGGAACCUGCCUUUCAUGGGGGACAACAGUUGGAAACGACUGCUAAUACCGCAUAAUGUCAUUUAGGGACAUCCCUUUAUGACCAAAGAUUUAUCGCUGAAAGAUGGCCUCGCGUCUGAUUAGAUAGUUGGUAGGGUAACGGCCUACCAAGUCGACGAUCAGUAGCCGGACUGAGAGGUUGGACGGCCACAUUGGGACUGAGAUACGGCCCAG
rnacentral:rRNA from 1 species